GAUGAAGAACGUAGUGAAAUGCGAUACGUAAUGUGAAUUGCAGAAUUCAGUGAAUCAUCGAGUCUUUGAACGCACAUUGCGCCCCUUGGUAUUCCGAGGGGCAUGCCUGUUCGAGCGUCAUUUUGACCACUCCCGCUUGCGGGGUCUUGGGCCUUCGCCUCUGGGCGGGCCUUAAAAUCAGUGGCGGUGCCGUCCGGCUCUAAGCGUAGUAAAUCUCCUCGCUAUAGGGUUCCGGAGGGAUGCUGGCCAACAACCCCCAACUUUUAAGGUUGACCUCGGAUCAGGUAGGGAUACCCGCUGAACUUAAGCAUAUCAAUAAGCGGAGGA
rnacentral:misc_RNA from 1 species